GAUGAACGCUGGCGGCGUGCCUAAUACAUGCAAGUCGAGCGAACAGACGCUGAUCUUGCUCCUCUGACGUGUGCGGCGGACGGGUGAGUAACACGUGGAUAACCUCCCUAUAAGACUGGGAUAACUUCGGGAAACCGGAUCUAAUACCGGAUAAUAUAUUGCACCGCAUGGUUCAAUAGUGAAAGACGGCUUUUCUGUCUCGUAUAGAUGGAUCCGCGCCGCAUUAGCUAGUUGGUAAGGUAACGGCUUACCAAGGGGACGAUGCGUAGCCGACGUGACGGGGGGAUGGCCGACACAGGAGCUGAGCCACGGCACAGGCACCGACGGGAGGCAGCAGUAGGGAAGCGACGGAAAAGGGCGAAAGAUUGACGGAGCAACGCAGCGUGAGUGAUGAAGGUCUUCGGAUCGUAAAACGCUGUUAGGAGGGAAGAACAAAUGUGUAAGUAACGAUGCGCGCCUUGACGGUACCGAAGAAGAAAGCCCCGGCUACCAACGG
rnacentral:rRNA from 1 species